CAGCUGAAUUAUAAUGGAUGGAGGCAAAGGCUGCCCAAGAGAACAAGCCUGGACACACAAAGGGCAAAGGUCCUGAGGAGAUGGAGAUGAGGUGUUUUCUUUCUCAAAAAAUGUUCAGCAACUAGAUGCUAUUUCACCAAGAGACAAGCCAUCGCACAGAAAACAGCUAGAAGUGUGUGCACCGAUGACUUGGAUUAUCUACUCAUGGGCAGAUGAUUUCAUCAGCUUCACAGAGUCCUGAUUAUCUUCCUAUGCAUGGUUGUUUCCCCUGUUUUGGAGAAAGGUCUCACUAUGUAACCCAAGCUGACCUGGAACAACAACACCUUCACCGGAGCGUCCCUAGUGCUGGCAAUACAAGCAUGUGCCAGCCUGCUAUCAUUUCAAGAUUGCAAGUAAAUGUUAGAGCGUAGGAGAAUUCACAAGUAAGAGCUAUUUCAUUUAUUGUGGUCAUUACUGUUACUGUUGUCAUUAUUGUUAACUGAUGCUAUGCCUUUUUAUGGACAAAAGUCCAUUGCUAUUAAGUCCCAGACGUCAUGUAAAGGACAUCUGGUUGACCUUGGGACAUUCGUCACUUCAGUAAACUAAGCUCUUGGAUCGACAUUUCAUAUAAUCAGCAGCAGUUUAGGAACAACUUACUGUUUUCUCGGAUCUGGUGGGGGUUCCAUAGAAGCUUCUCGAAAGCCUGAGGGAAGUAAUUGAGGGUCACUGUAAGAGAAACAGUAGCAGACAGUCACAUUUGACAUUUCAAAGCUAUUCAGAAGUAAUUUGGGAACAACCUCUAGAAAAAAAAAUAUGUUUGCAAUGUUUAUAUACUUUGAAAACAAUAGUAAACCAAUGAGAACUUUU
rnacentral:lncRNA from 1 species